UACCUUUACCUAUUUUCCAACUGGUAAGAAUGUUAAUUUAAAUUUUAAUAAAUCACACAGAUACGAUCCAUGAUGGAAGCGAGCACGUCUGAUUAUGACAAGGAGAAGUUGAAAGAAAGAUUGGCUAAGCUUUCGGGUGGUGUUGAUGUACUAAAGAUUGGAGGAGCGAGUGAGACAGAAGUUAGCGAAAAGAAAGAUAGAGUAACUGACGCUCUAAAUGCCCACUAAAGCAGUCGUAGAAGAGGGUAUUGUUCCAGGUGGUGGUGUUGCUCUUUUGUAUGCUUCAAAAGAACUUGAGAAGCUUUCCACAGCUAACUUUGAUCAGAAAAUCGGUGUUCAAAUAAUUCAAAACGCCCUCAAGGUUUUUCUCGUCACAUUGUUCAUCCUCUCUAACAUAAACAGCUUCUAGAAUCUUACACACAAAAUCUUUCGUUGAUGCAGACACAUGUUUACACGAUUGCUUCCAAUGCUGGAGUAGAGGGUGCAGUUAUCGUAGGCAAGCUUUUGGAGCAAGAUAAUCCUGACCUUGGUUAUGAUGCCGCUAAAGGUUACACUCUUAUAUGCAUUAGAGAAAUUUGCGUUCUAACUGCUCCUUUCACUAUAUAUUGAACUAGCUUCUUUUUUACGUUUACUUUCAGGUGAAUACGUCGAUAUGGUAAAGUCUGGUAUUAUUGACCCUUUGAAAGUGAUCAGAACUGCAUUGGUUGAUGCUGCAAGGUACACAAAGUUUUGAAAAAUUUAUGUCAAAUUUUGUAGUUUAUUGCAAUGUUUUUGCUAAUAUUUUUUCCUGGUUUAUUCUAUUGGUUAGUGUGUCGUCUUUGUUGACAACAACGGAAGCAGUUGUGACUGAGAUUCCAACGAAAGAGAAGGAAGCGUCUCCAGGUAUGGACGGUGGCAUGGGUGGCAUGGGAGGUAUGGGAGGAAUGGGUUGAAUGGGUUUCUGAGAAGAACCAGAAACCCUAACUAGGUUUCUUUGGGAUUACGGUUACUUCAUCCACAAGGCACUAAUGGAUUCUUUAAUCAUGAUUGGAAAAGAGAGAGACCUUCAGAUUUUCCGUGAAAUCCAAUUCACAAUCGAUUUAUAAAAAUAAUAAUUUUAUUUGGUUCAUGCAAGUCUUUUUAGUUAACUUCUUCCAAAAUUCUUCAGAUUAGAGAGUUCAGUGAAUCUUCAAAAAGGUUGCGCAUGGAGAUCUAUAGUUCUUGCCAAGUAUCACCAAACCCUUAUAUCUUAUGAACACGAUAUUUACAUGUUUGUAUGUGGUUCAAUUAACAUUUUUCAGACUCCAUUAUCAAAUAAAAAAUUGAAAAGGUCUUUUCAAAGUACACAAGGGAUUAGUCAUAGAAGGAAAGAAACGAUAUAGAAAGCAAAUCUACUGAAAAAGAGGAUUAUGAUUAUAGCCCUUGGUGGGUCCUCAAACAUUCCUCUCCCCAAAAAAAAAGUCAUGAUUAUGAACCAAACUCUUUUUGUUUUCACGUCUUUGUCCGUACCAUACCAUAAUUUGUCCUAUUUAAAGCAGUGAACCAUAAUCAAGGAUACUGUAAUUGUGAUUAAUUUUUUUUUUUUUUAAUUGUGAUUAAUUUAUAUAUAGUAUUAGAUUGAUUACAGCUUGGAUAUACAGGAUGAAGCGAAUUGAUUCAAUUUGGCCAAUUGGUCAAACGCUCCAUGUCCCAUGGUAUACAUCCACCGAACUAGAUGACAAAAAAACAAACAUAAUUUGAGAAUAUUCUUAGACAUCUAGUUCAAAUUCCUUUGGGAAAAUAACGUAGUAAAGUAAAAGAAACUAGGAAAGAUACUUGGAGCUUGAUGAUGAAUUAGCUUAACGAGAAAACUAUAUAUCUGUUUAGGCAAGAAAAUUUGAUGUCUCGGUUGAUUACACACUUCCAACACUUCUAGUUAAACUACAAGUAAUCAUGGAUUAACUCUUAAGAAAGUUCCACGCUCUUAUUUAUUUAUUUCACAAGUAACCCGACGUGGGCACGUGGCUGCCCAUUGUAACGUUUCCUCGAGCCCGGAGAAUGUUUUCUACUUAUUUUAGUUUUAAAUAUAUUUACAAGGGAACCCUAUUUAGAAUGUUCAAAGUUCUCAUUAACCUUUUGCCAAAAAAAAAAUG